CGGCGAGUGAAGCGGCAACAGCUCAAAUUUGAAAUCUGGCCCCCAGGGCCCGAGUUGUAAUUUGCAGAGGAUGCUUUUGGCGCGGUGCCUUCCGAGUUCCCUGGAACGGGACGCCAUAGAGGGUGAGAGCCCCGUCUGGUCGGACGCCUAGCCUAUGUAAAGCUCCUUCGACGAGUCGAGUAGUUUGGGAAUGCUGCUCUAAAUGGGAGGUAUAUGUCUUCUAAAGCUAAAUAUUGGCCAGAGACCGAUAGCGCACAAGUAGAGUGAUCGAAAGAUGAAAAGCACUUUGAAAAGAGGGUUAAAUAGUACGUGAAAUUGUUGAAAGGGAAGCGCUUAUGACCAGACUUGGGCCCGGUGGAUCAUCCAGCGUUCUCGCUGGUGCACUCCGCCGGGUUCAGGCCAGCAUCAGUUCGCCGCGGGGGAAAAAGGCUUCGGGAACGUGGCUCCUACGGGAGUGUUAUAGCCCGUUGCAUAAUACCCUGGGGCGGACUGAGGUUCGCGCUCCGCAAGGAUGCUGGCGUAAUGGUCAUCAGCGACCCGUCUUGAAACACGGACCAAGGAGUCGUCUUCGUAUGCGAGUGUUCGGGUGUAAAACCCCUACGCGUAAUGAAAGUGAACGCAGGUGAGAGCUUCGGCGCAUCAUCGACCGAUCCUGAUGUUCUCGGAUGGAUUUGAGUAAGAGCAUACGGGGCCGGACCCGAAAGAAGGUGAACUAUGCCUGUAUAGGGUGAAGCCAGAGGAAACUCUGGUGGAGGCUCGCAGCGGUUCUGACGUGCAAAUCGAUCGUCAAAUAUGGGCA
rnacentral:rRNA from 2 species